rnacentral:rRNA from 1 species
AGUGAACGCUGGCGGUAGGCCUAACACAUGCAAGUCGAACGGCGGCACAGUAAGAGCUUGCUCUUACGGGUGGCGAGUGGCGGACGGGUGAGGAAUACAUCGGAAUCUACUUUUUCGUGGGGGAUAACGUAGGGAAACUUACGCUAAUACCGCAUACGACCUACGGUUGAAAGCAGGGGAUCUUCGGACCUUGCGCGAUUGAAUGAGCCGAUGUCGGAUUAGCUAGUUGGCGGGGUAAAGGCCCACCCAGGCGACGAUCCGUAGCUGGUCUGAGAGGAUGGUCAGCCACACUGGAGCUGAGACACGGUCCAGACUACUACGGGAGGCAGCAGUGGGGAAUAUUGGACAAUGGGCGCAAGCCUGAUCCAGCCAUACCGCGUGGGUGAAGAAGGCCUUCGGGUUGUAAAGCCCUUUUGUUGGGAAAGAAAAGCAGCAGGUUAAUACCCCGCUGUUCUGACGGUACCCAAAGAAUAAGCACCGGCUAACUUCGUG